AAAGGCCCAAAUACAAGGAAGAUGCAGAAUUCAUGCAAACUGGGCAUCCAUUUCAUCGGGCAGAGGACUCACCCGCUGAAAAAGGGUUGAAUCUUUCUCUUAACAGCUAUUUGUCUGCUCAAAGAGAUGACAGGAAAUUUAUUCCUCAAUCCGAAGAUGGAUUUCCUUCCUGGUCAACUCGGAAAGAUGGCACCGGCAAACUAGAUGAGUUUAUUAGGAAAAAUGCGGAAGCCAACGCAAAUCUGAACAGACUUCCUAAACCUGUUUCAGAUGCAUUUUCUGGGAAAAUAGGGCAUGAUGAUCGCAGUAGUAAAUUUUUCACCUACAGCAUGCCUAUCCCGAAUGAGAAGCAAAACUAUCGCUCCCAGGUUGAAGGGAGUUUGUUGCAGCAAAUGGAUAUUUCUCGUGCAAGAAACAAGGAGAAAAUCAUUGAGGUUCCGAAAAAUUCAGCUGUGCCUGUUAGUAGGAAAGAUAGCAACCAUAGAGCUGAAAAGACGUCUCAUAAAGGAGCUGCAGAUGACAUACCGAUGGAAAUUGUUGAAUUCAUGGCAAAAAAUCAUUAUGAGAGAAAUCAGAAAGUUUUGGAAGCAGAUCAUAGUUAUGGCUUUGGAAACUUAAGAAUAUUAGAGGAAACAGGUCAGAAACGAAAACCUCAGGCAAGAAAGGCAAAAGAUGGUGCAACAGCAAGAAAAAAUGUGGGACCUUCCAAACAGAAGUUAGUUGACCUUUCUACUUAUAUCCCCGAAAAAGACACAUUUCGUCUUGAUCAAAUGCAUUGCCCUACAGGGUUUAAUGCAUUCAGUCAGCCUAAAAAGAAGAUGAGUACUCGAGAGCAAUUUCCUACUGCUGGUUACAGCAGCUGUAGUUGUGCUCAAAAUUGCAAAUGGAAUGGAGAUAUGAUGAGCCAUGGGUUGUCAAAUUCUAGCUUGCGUCCGUCUGUUCCACAAUCAAAGGAAGAAGCAGCUCGCUUAUGGUCACCUGCAAUGCCAGCUCAAACUCCCUUAAUGCAUUACAAUCCUCAAAAGUGUGCAGCUCAGCCUUCUAAUGUCGAUAUGCUUUCACACCCUCCAGGCUCGCUGCAUAAGGGAAAUUUCCAUGGUGAUUAUGGCCUGAAAUUAUUUAAUUUAAAUGCUACCAACCCGGAAAAGCAUAUUGAAGGUGUUGGUUCUGAACCUUUCAGCAGAACAAAUGCAGAGUACUCAUUCACUGGCAAACGUAACGGGACUGAGCCUCCUAAGAGUUCAGCGGGUUCUUUUGAUCUAUAUUCCAAUGAAACCAUACCAGCAAUGCAUUUGCUCAGCCUCAUGGAUGCAGGUAUGCGGUCAAGUCCGCCCUUCAGCAUUGCUGGAAACCCGAAAUUUCCCAAGAGACCCAUUGAUUUUUACUCGAAGGAGUAUUCUGCGGUGGAUGCUGGUGGUUAUAAGGUUACCGAUACUAUGAAGCAUCCAUCAUCCAGUUGUUGCGGCAAAAAUCACAUUUCUGAGAAGUCUCUUGACCUUUUUCCUAUGAAUCCUGGUGGUACAUCUACCUCUUCCUAUCCUAAAGGAUUCAAAAGGGCUGCCGUAGAGAAUAGAGGCUCCAGAUCCCAGAAUUCUGCAUUUAAAGGUGGUGUUUUGGGCAAAAAUCAUGGAACUAUCCCUGUUAUGCACAAAGGACUCGCUACACUGGCUGAUUCUACGAUGUUUCCCCAGCACCACCACAACACUGAAUAUCCUAUGCUGCAGAAAUUAGAUACUCAUAAUGCUAAUGGGGCCAUGAGGCCUCCAAGGAGCAGUCCCAAUUCUUUAAUCUGCACUAUAAACAAAAACCCAGCUGAGUUUAGCUUGCCAGAAGAUGGCAAUGAGUACAUGAUUAGCGGGAAAGACUUAAAAGUUGGGAAGCAGAGGCAUGGCUUUGUACAAGUAGAUCAGAACAAGCAGCUGAAGAAGAGGAAACAGACUACAGGAAAAGGACGCGCACAACAAUGAGUUUGAUGAGGUUCCUGAUAUAUCUUUACUUGUAGUAUUGUAUAACCCUUUAUUAGCUAAAGUGCUCGAACCAGAACUCUUUGCUCAGCUGCCUGGCAAAGAUUUUCCCAGCUAGCUUCCGCAAAAUAAGGUUCACAGAGGAUCCAAGUUGUAGUCGUAUGAAGCUGAUAUUAGUCAGAGACUCGGAAGCUGAGAAGCGGAGUUUAUAGCAGUCAUACUGGGUGGAGGUUAAGGCCUGUAUAUAGCCUUCAUAUGUCUUGACCUGCCUGUGCUAUUGAUUUUGUAUCAAAUCUUGUUAUUGUUUUUCGGGGUCAUACUUUUGCAAUGACAAGAUGGCUUUCGUACUGGUGAGUUAUUUUCAUGGAUAAAACUUGAAAUUGUAAUUUCUGUAGUUGCCAAAAACAUGUGAAAGAAGACAAUGCAUGCUGCUGUUAUUUGAGUGAUUUGAGAAUAAGAUUUUGCCUCAUCUCUUUCAAGCACUUGAAAGAGAUGAGCACAUC